rnacentral:lncRNA from 1 species
GCGAGUAUAGCUGUUUUUUUUUGCUGGAUAUUAUCUAUUGUAUUGCCGGGCUGCGCCCCGUGCGCUUUUCCGGAGCGUUUAAUUUUUGGGAAUGUGUUUUUCCCUGGCGGACUUUGUCACGCGCCCUGUGCCCUACGGCUAUUGCGUUCUGCAUUUAUUAUUAAAACACUGUUGCUCCGGCCCUCUGCCUCCUGCUCCUGAUUCCACAUCUCCACUGGUCCUAGACAGCCGUGACAGCUGCCUGGCCCCUCAUUGUGGAGAAAGAGGAUCUCUGGCGGCGAAUCGCAUCUCUGCAUGUCUGUCAGACAUAUCAGUGUGGAUGACGGAUCACCACCUCAAGCUGAACCUCGGCAAGACGGAGCUGCUCUUCCUCCCGGGGAAGGACUGCCCGUCCCAUGAUCUCGCCAUCACGGUUGACAACUCCCUUGUGUCCUCCUCC